UUCUUGUUUCUUUUAUUCUUGUACACUCUGCGAGAUUUGGUGUGGGAAACUGGGAGGUUUCAUGGCUUGACUCCUCUGGAAUGUGGCAACAAUGGGAUGCAGGAGGAAAAGUGGCAGCAGCAGAGAACGGGGUGUUUGUUUUCAUGUUGUUGGAAUAUUUUCACAUUGUUCACGAUCCACAGUUUGCAAAGCAUGUGGUGAGAAAUGCCAGUGCAGGGAUUUUGUAGUGGAAUAUCUUUUAGAAUCCCUAUCUCUAAGAUUGCACACACAAAUUGGAGAAAGUUACUGUUCCUGUUCUGGUGGGAAAAGUCAAUUUAACUUAAAAACAUCAAGGGAGGAACUUUUCAAAGCUGCUUCUGAUUAUGAAAAUGUUCACAGGGUUUUAACUGCUGCAAAAAUAGUCCUGUAGGUGCUUUUUAGUUAUUAAAUAUCCUCCAUUUUCUGGGUGGAGAAGGCGCUGUGCAGGGAGCAGUGAACUCUGUGUACAGGAACAAGACACAGGGGCUGGUGCUGAGGAACUGCCAGGUUUGAGUGGCUUUGUGCCACUUCUACAAGAUUUCCAAGAAAUGGAUAGAAACUAAGUCAAGUCUUUUGAGUUAGAAGAGGAUAACAAAUUUGUAUGUGUAUAUAAAUAUAACUGUUUGCCUUUCUUUCAGCUUCUGUUCCUGUCAGUUAAUGCUCUGAGAAAAUGGGAGGCAGGUCCUCAAAAGAAGCUCCAGUUACAUCAGGACCCAUUUGCCCUACUGUUCCUGUCCCCACCACUGCGCUCACCCCUACAGUUGAUUUCAGAACUGCAGAAGUCAGAUGUGGGAUUAAUAACGAUGAAAUACUGUACAUGUCACUGGCCUUCAUCUCUGGCAUCCUCCUGACUGUCCUGGUUUUUGCAAUCAUCUUCCUCUUCAGAAAAAGGUCUAAAAGAUGCCACCAAAAUUUACAAGAGGAAACUUUCUCCCAGAUGGCAGCUGAGGAAUCUGUUAGGAACACCCAGAAUGAAGUGACCUACAGCACUGUGGUCUUCCAGCGGGGCAGGACACCACAGCCUGUGUGAUGAGGAAGCUCCAAAUGGAAUAAAAACGAUCCCACUUUCUGGACA
rnacentral:lncRNA from 1 species